AGCUUUGAGCAGUGGCAGUAUCGUAGCCAAUGAGGUUUAUCCAAGGCGUGAUUAUUGGUAGUUGAAACUCAAGAGUUGGCCGGGCGUGGUGGCUCACACCUGUAAUCCCAGCACUUUGGGAGGCCGAGGCAGGC
ensembl:snRNA U4 U4 spliceosomal RNA